rnacentral:rRNA from 1 species
UACAGAGGGGGCAAGCGUUUAUUCGGAAUUAUUGGGCGUAAAGGGCGCGUAGGCGCCUGGCAAGUGGAAGGUGAAAUCCCUCGGCUUAACCGAGGAACUGCCCUCCAAACUGCUUGGCUUGAGUCCGGGAGAGGUGAGUGGAAUUCCCAGUGUAGCGGUGAAAUGCGUAGAUAUUGGGAGGAACACCAGUGGCGAAGGCGGCUCACUGGACCGGAACUGACGCUGAGGGCGCGAAAAGCGUGGGGGAGCAAAACGGGG